AAUACGGGGGGGGCAAGCGUUGUUCGGAAUUACUGGGCGUAAAGGGCUCGUAGGCGGCCAACUAAGUCAGACGUGAAAUCCCCAGGCUCAACCUGGGAACUGCGUCUGAUACUGAAUGGCUUGAAUCCGGGAGAGGGAUGCGGAAUUCCAGGUGUAGCGGUGAAAUGCGUAGAUAUCUGGAGGAACACCGGUGGCGAAGGCGGCAUCCUGGACCGGUAUUGACGCUGAGGAGCGAAAGCCAGGGGAGCAAACGGGA
rnacentral:rRNA from 1 species